ensembl:lncRNA
GUGUCUGCAUUGGUGGGACCACAUUGGAGGAUCCAGAGGGGCAGCCCUGGGCCAUGACUCUGCUCUGCUCCUGUGGCAGGAAUCGAAGCCACCUAUAAUCAGGGCUGCUGCAGUUGCAGCCUACGAGGGGACCCUGGGAUGUUUAACUGGGGGAUAUCACCUGCUGUUCUACAUGGCUGCACCAUGUUACCCUUCCACCAGCAGUGUCUGAGAGUUCCAAUUGCUCUGCGUCUUCACCAGCACCAUGUAUAUUCUUCCUGCUGUGUUUGUUUUAAUUUUAGCUGUUCUGGUGAGGAAAUCUUAUUUUUAGUUCUUGUCUUACACACUUAAAAAUGAGGCUUGAAGAGAUUAAAUAAAACCUUAAAAGGCAGGUAGAGAGUUGAAGUUUCUGAAGGAAGACAAGGGAGCAGGACCAAGACCACUCCAGGGAGGCCUUCUGAGCUUGUUGUACAUUUCCCAUCCACUCCUCAGACUGUUUUUCCCAGACAACAAAAAGUAUCAUCUGAAAUGUUACCAGAUUUUAAUGAGACUUCUGGUGCUGAAAGAAAACAAAACUUAAGUGAAGAUCAAGAGGAGAAACAGAAACCAAGAGUGAAUGAAGGGUUUAAACCAGUAUCUCAAGGACGAAUGAAGAAGUUAAGGAAACAGAAACAAAGGGAAGAACAAAGAGAACUCCGCAAACAAAAGUGGAAAGAAAAAUGCAAGGGAAAGAAAUUAGAAUGACAAUGUCAACUGGAAUCAAACCCAGAUGGAAAUGACAGAAAACGUGUUCAAAGACAAGUCAUCCAGAGCACACUCUGCCUUGUCAUUGACUGCCAUUUUGAUGAUUUGAUGGUCUUACAGGAUAUUAAGAAACUUCAUAGGCAGAUUCAGCGAUCUUAUGCAGAAAACCAAAGAGCAUUGCACCCCAGCAGAUUUUCUUGACAAGCCAUGGAGGCCAGCUGAAAAGGAACAUGGAUGACAAUGACAAAGGAUGGGUCAACUGGAAGGAUAUCCACAUCAAACCAGAGCUCUGUAGUGAACUCAUAAAAAAAGAAGACCUUGUGUAUCUUACAUCAGAUUCCCCUAACACACUGCAGGAAUUAGAUGAGUCAAGGGCCUAUGUGAUUGGAGGAUUGGCAGACCACAACCAUCACAAGGGAUUCACGUAGAAACAAGAUCGGAUUAUGGGAUUGAUCAUGCUCAGCUCCCCCACAGAAAUUCUGUGAAGAUGAACAGUCGGAAAGGUCUGACAGUUGAUCAUGUAUUUGAGAUUAUCCUGGAAUACCUGCAAACAAGAGACUGGCAAGAAGCAUUUUUUUACUAUCUUACCCCAGCGGAAAGGAGCUGUCUCCACAGACAAAGCCUGUGACAGUUCCUCCCAGGACCAGCAGGGUGCUGGGGCUGAAGGUGGACUGGACAGUGAGGCGGAAUGCUGCAGGAAUCAACCGGAUUCCCCACAUCCAGAGGACGCGCAGGAUGAGGAAAGCCACUGAGUCCACGUGAGUCCGCCCCGCUAACACUACCUGGUUCCCUCUGAGCUUAGGGACACAUUAGGAGGAGGUGACAAAUGAGGUGCUUCACAGAACUGUCGGCUUGUAGAAGAAUGUUAUUUUCUCUUAUUUAUAUUGUGAAUUUAAAACUUAUGGAACUAAAUAACAAAAGGUCCUUUAUACUUUUAAAGACUUUUUUUGUAUUUGUGUAAAAUUUAAACAUGCAUAUCUUUGUUGUUAUUGUUUAGCUUUGAAUAAGAGUUUUAGAAGAUUUAGUUUAUUACUGGUAGUACACCUUCAUUCUCCUUCGCUUGCCGCAGUGCAUUCUCCAGAAUGUGCCUUCUGACCUCUCAGUUUUAUUAUGCUAUGUUUAGACCAACACCUUUCUGCUCUAUGGCCUGUUUAUUUGCGGGGCAGAUAUUCAUUAACAAACUAUAAGUGUACUAGAGGGUUGGAUAGGGGAAUUACCCUUUAUUUGCAGCUUUCACCUUCAACUUGGGUAUUGCAAAGAAAAUAUCAUAACUCUGGGAAGAAACGCGAUGUGCUGGACUCAACUUCAUCUCUUCUGGGCUGUGGAGCCCUAACCUGUGCCUCCUUUACUCAUUUGAUGAAAGCCAUAAUUCCAAGAAGAGGUGAUGACAUCCUGCUUGAGAUACACAAAGGCCUUCAUCUGUCAGCACCAUGUGGAAAACCAAGAAACUCUAAUGAUGAGAAUGUAAAAUCAGGCUGCACAGAUACAUAACAACUAUUCCACCCAAGAUUAAACAGAGCAGAACAUAAGUUAGGGCUUUCAAAAGAUCAUUUGAU